AGUGAACGCUGGCGGUAGGCCUAACACAUGCAAGUCGAACGGCAGCACAGUAAGAGCUUGCUCUUACGGGUGGCGAGUGGCGGACGGGUGAGGAAUACAUCGGAAUCUACUUUUUCGUGGGGGAUAACGUAGGGAAACUUACGCUAAUACCGCAUACGACCUACGGGUGAAAGCAGGGGAUCUUCGGACCUUUCGCGAUUGAAUGAGCCGAUGUCGGAUUAGCUAGUUGGCGGGGUAAAGGCCCACCAAGGCGACGAUCCGUAGCUGGUCUGAGAGGAUGAGCGGCCACAAUGGAACUGAGAAAAGGUCCAGACUCCUAAGGGAGGCAGCAGUAGGGAAUCUUAGGAAAAGGGCGAAAGCCUGAAGGAGCAACGCCGCGUGAGUGAUGAAGGUCUUCGGAUCGUAAAACUCUGUUAUUAGGGAAGAAAAUAUGUGUAAGUAACUGUGCACAUCUUGACGGUACCUAAGCAGAAAGCCACGGCUAACUACGUG
rnacentral:rRNA from 1 species